rnacentral:rRNA from 1 species
UCAAGAAACUUCCACAAUGGGCGAAAGCCUGAUGGAGCGACGUCGCGUGAUGGACGAAGUGCUUCGGCACGUAAACAUCUUUUAUGUGGGAUGAAACUAUUGACAGUACCACAUGAAUAAGGGGCUCCUAACUCUGUGCCAGCAGGAGCGGUAAUACAGAGGCCCCAAGCGUUAUCCGGAAUCACUGGGCGUAAAGGGUGUCGAGGCGGUUGUAUUAGUCGUUCGUAAAAUCUACGAGCUUAACUUGUAGGCGGCGAACGAAACGGUACGACUUGAGGUUUGGAGAGGUGCGUGGAACUCACGGUGUAGGGGUGAAAUCCGUUGAUAUCGUGGGGAACACCAAAGGCGAAGGCAGCGCACUGGCCAAAAUCUGACGCUCACACACGAAAGCUAGGGUAGCGAAGAGGAUUAGAUACCCACGUAGUCCCUGAGCGGGCUGGCAAGGCGCAU